rnacentral:rRNA from 1 species
AAACUAACAAGGAUUCCCCUAGUAGCGGCGAGCGAAGCGGGAAGAGCUCAAAUUUAUAAUCUGGCACCUUCGGUGUCCGAGUUGUAAUCUCUAGAAGUGUUUUCCGCGUUGGACCGCACACAAGUCUGUUGGAAUACAGCGGCAUAGUGGUGAAACCCCCGUAUAUGGUGCGGACGCCCAGCGCUUUGUGAUACACUUUCAAUGAGUCGAGUUGUUUGGGAAUGCAGCUCAAAUUGGGUGGUAAAUUCCAUCUAAAGCUAAAUAUUGGCGAGAGACCGAUAGCGAACAAGUACCGUGAGGGAAAGAUGAAAAGCACUUUGGAAAGAGAGUUAACAGUACGUGAAAUUGUUGGAAGGGAAACGCUUGAAGUCAGACUUGCUUGCCGGAGCUUGCUUCGGUUUGCAGGCCAGCAUCAGUUUUCCGGGGUGGAUAAUGACGGUUUGAAGGUAGCAGUCUCGGCUGUGUUAUAGCUUUCCGUUGGAUACAUCCUGGGGGACUGAGGAACGCAGCGUGCUUUU